AUACGAAGGUCCCAAGCGUUAUUCGGAAUCACUGGGCGUAAAGAGUACGUAGGCGGUUUGGUAAGUCAGGUGUGAAAUCCCGGAGCUCAACUCCGGAACUGCAUCUGAUACUGCCAGACUUGAGUAAUGGAGAGGCAGGUGGAAUUCUCGGUGUAGCAGUGAAAUGCGUGGAUAUCGAGAGGAAGACCAAUGGCGAAGGCAGCCUGCUGGACAUUUACUGACGCUGAGGUACGAAGGCUAGGGGAGCGAAAGGGAUUAGAUACCCCAGUAGUCC
rnacentral:rRNA from 1 species